rnacentral:rRNA from 1 species
CCUACGGGAGGCAGCAGUGGGGAAUAUUGGGCAAUGGAGGCAACUCUGACCCAGCAACGCCGCGUGAAUGAUGAAGGUCUUCGGAUUGUAAAGUUCUGUGAUGGGGGAUGAACACAAUGACGGUACCCCAAUAGCAAGCCACGGCUAACUACGUGCCAGCAGCCGCGGUAAUACGUAGGUGGCAAGCGUUAUCCGGAAUGACUGGGCGGAAGGGGUGCGUAGGUGGUUUAGUAAGUUGGCGGUGUAAUUCCGGGGCUCAACCUCGGCGCUACCGCCAAAACUAUUAGACUAGAGUGCAGGAGGGGUAAGUGGAAUACCUAGUGUAGCGGGGGAAUGCGUAGAUAUUAGGAGGAACAUCAGGGGCGAAGGCGACUUACUGGACUGUAACUGACACUGAGGCACGAAAGCGUGGGGAGCAAACAGGAUUAGAUACCCUUGUAGUC